GGCGCACGGGUGAGUAACACGUAAGUAAUCUACCCUCGAGCGGGGAAUAACGUUCGGAAACGAACGCUAAUACCGCAUAACGCAGCGGCACCGCAAGGUGACAGUUGUUAAAGGAGUAAUUCGCUUGAGGAGGAGCUUGCGGCAGAUUAGCUUGUUGGUAAGGUAACGGCUUACCAAGGCUACGAUCUGUAUCCGGUCUAAGAGGACGGUCGGACACACUGACACUGAAUAACGGGUCAGACUCCUACGGGAGGCAGCAGUCGGGAAUUUUGGGCAAUGGGCGAAAGCCUGACCCAGCAACGCCGCGUGAAGGAUGAAGUAUUUCGGUAUGUAAACUUCGAAAGAAUGGGAAGAAUAAAUGACGGUACCAUUUAUAAGCUCCGGCUAACUACGUGCCAGCAGCCGCGGUAAUACGUAGGGAGCAAGCGUUGUUCGGAUUUACUGGGCGUAAAGGGCGCGUAGGCGGCGCGGUAAGUCACUUGUGAAAUCUCUGAGCUUAAC
rnacentral:rRNA from 1 species